UGGGGAAUUUUGGACAAUGGGCGAAAGCCUGAUCCAGCAAUGCCGCGUGUGUGAAGAAGGCCUUCGGGUUGUAAAGCACUUUUGUCCGGAAAGAAAUCCUUGGCUCUAAUACAGUCGGGGGAUGACGGUACCGGAAGAAUAAGCACCGGCUAACUACGUGCCAGCAGCCGCGGUAAUACGUAGGGUGCAAGCGUUAAUCGGAAUUACUGGGCGUAAAGCGUGCGCAGGCGGUUUGCUAAGACCGAUGUGAAAUCCCCGGGCUCAACCUGGGAACUGCAUUGGUGACUGGCAGGCUAGAGUAUGGCAGAGGGGGGUAGAAUUCCACGUGUAGCAGUGAAAUGCGUAGAGAUGUGGAGGAAUACCGAUGGCGAAGGCAGCUCCCUGGGCCAAUACUGACGCUCAUGCACGAAAGCGUGGGGAGCAAACAGGAUUAGAUACCCUGGUAGUCCACGCCCUAAAACGAUGUCAACUAGUUGUUGGGGAUUCAUUUCCUUAGUAACGUAGCUAACGCGUGAAGUUGACCGCCUGGGGAGUACGGUCGCAAGAUUAAAACUCAAAGGAAUUGACGGGGU
rnacentral:rRNA from 1 species